AUUGAACGCUGGCGGCAGGCCUAACACAUGCAAGUCGAACGCGUGGCGGACGGGUGAGUAAUGUCUUGGAAACUGCCUGAUGGAGGGGGCUAACUACUGGAAACGGUAGCUAAUACCGCAUACCAUCGGAUGUGCCCAGAUGGGAUUAGCUAGUAGGUGGGGUAAAGGCUCACCUAGGCGACGAGCCCUAGCUGGUCUGAGAGGAGGACCAGCCACACUGGAACUGAGACACGGUCCAGACUCAUACGGGAGGAAGCAGUGGGGAAUAUUGCACAAUGGGCGCAAGCCUGAUGCAGCCAUGCCGCGUGUAUGAAGAAGGCCUUCGGGUUGUAAAGUACUUGCAGCGGGGAGGCGGUACCCGCAGAAGAAGCACCGGCUAACUCCGUGCCAGCAGCCGCGGUAAUAC
rnacentral:rRNA from 1 species